GCGUCGGUGGUAUAACGGUUAGCAUAGCUGCCUUCCAAGCUGUUGACCCGGGUUCGACUCCCGGCCGACGCA
rnacentral:tRNA from 1 species